rnacentral:rRNA from 1 species
CGCCUCUUGCAACUCGUAAUAUAAGAGGUCCUGCCUGCCCCCUGACGUAAUGUUCAACGGCCGCGGUAUUUUAACCGUGCUAAGGUAGCGUAAUCACUUGUCUUUUAAAUAAAGACCCGUAUGAAUGGCUAGACGAGGGCUUAACUGUCUCCUCCCCCAGGUCAAUGAAUUUGAUCUCCCCGUGCAGAAGCGGGGAUAUUAGCAUAAGACGAGAAGACCCUGUGGAGCUUUAGAUAUAAAAUUGACCCAUGUUAACUAAGACCCCCUACCAGGUUACAAGCUCAGUGGACCCUCGUUUGAUGUCUUCGGUUGGGGCGACCAUGAGGAACACAAAACCCUCACGUGGAAACAGGAGCAGUAAAGCAAUUUUACAACCACUCCUUCAAAUCAGAGCGACAGUUCCAAUUAGCAGAUAAUUCUGACCAAAUAGAUCCGGCGUAUGCCGAUCGGCGAAUCAAGUUACCCCAGGGAUAACAGCGCAAUCCCCUUUUAGAGUCCAUAUCGACAAGGGGGUUUACGACCUCGAUGUUGGAUCAGGACAUCCUAAUGGUGCAACCGCUAUUAAGGGUUCGUUUGUUCAACGAUUAAUAGUCCU